rfam:Candidatus Melainabacteria bacterium GWA2_34_9 gwa2_scaffold_24570, whole genome shotgun sequence.
UCGUGCUACACGGGGAACUAGCGAUGCCCUUUGCCCGCAAUCGCUUUAGCGGGGUGGACAGCCUACCGUGAGGCUUGAUUGGUAAAGAUCGACAAUAUUAUUGUCCAGUGAAGUUUGGUCUGACACGGCGGAAGCCGGUGAACCUGGUCAGGGCGGGAACGCAGCAGCCAUAAGUCGUAACUUUCGGGUGUCGUCAGAUUGCCAGAUGGAGGGUAGUAAUGUUGUACUACUUUAUUAGUCAGGUCGAAGUGUAGGGCACGG